CCUAGAGGCUGGGCCCCCACUGGGCAAAAGACUGUACACAUCCAGAACAAAGAGACCAUCAAAGAUACCCUCCAGCAACGCGAUCUUUGCAAAUUUAACAAAGUUAAAGAGUAUUUUGCCAUAUUAUUAUACAGUCUGCCUCUAAGGGAGACAAAGGCAGCAGCCAAAAGAGGAGACUUCUGCAACCUGCUGCUGCAAAAUGGGGAGGGGGCAAGACUGACAUGCUUUGAGAGAAGACUUUCCAGGACUGGGAAGUGGGAGCAGCAGCAUUCCUGCAGAUCAUAGCAGAGCCCAGAUGAUAAAAUGUGAUCCUUGAAAAGGAGACAGACUGGAGUAGAUUACAUAUAGGAGCUUUAGAAACUGACUAGGAAAUUGUUGAAUGUAUUGCCAAAGACCAGGGCAACUAACUCCUCUCCUGGAGUAUGGCUAUAUAGAUAUACCCUCUCUUAACUAUGCUAAAUAUUUUGUCACUGUGACUGUCUUCAAAGUGCACAGUAUGGAUCCACACAAAACACAAGUCGUGCUUCUGGGGAGCAGGGACACAGGUCAAUACAGAUCAGUUAUUAAAUAACAGGUGGUAAGCACAGGCUGGCAUGUCAUCAGGCACCACCGUCAGCAGAUCUACAGGAAUAAGCAGUGAUGAGACCUUGCAGAUUUUCCAAAACUGCUGGAACUUUCUUCGGAAGUUUUGGAUUUCAUAAAACUGUUUCCUCCUUUAAUUUAAAACAUUUUUCCCCAAGAGAAAUUUAAUUUAAAAAAAGAAAGGCAACUUCUGGCUUUUCACCUGGGGGCAGUGCUGGAUGUGGGCAUGUAGCUAUAGCAGUUGAGCCAAAGCACGUCAACACAUUCUGCCAGAGCAAUCCAAAAGCUCGA